rnacentral:rRNA from 1 species
UCUGGCUCAGGAUGAACGCUGGCGGCGUGCCUAAUACAUGCAAGUCGAGCGAACGGACGAGAAGCUUGCUUCUCUGAUGUUAGCGGCGGACGGGUGAGUAACACGUGGAUAACCUACCUAUAAGACUGGGAUAACUUCGGGAAACCGGAGCUAAUACCGGAUAAUAUUUUGAACCGCAUGGUUCAAAAGUGAAAGACGGUCUUGCUGUCACUUAUAGAUGGAUCCGCGCUGCAUUAGCUAGUUGGUAAGGUAACGGCUUACCAAGGCAACGAUGCAUAGCCGACCUGAGAGGGUGAUCGGCCACACUGGAACUGAGACACGGUCCAGACUCCUACGGGAGGCAGCAGUAGGGAAUCUUCCGCAAUGGGCGAAAGCCUGACGGAGCAACGCCGCGUGAGUGAUGAAGGUCUUCGGAUCGUAAAACUCUGUUAUUAGGGAAGAACAUAUGUGUAAGUAACUGUGCACAUCUUGACGGUACCUAAUCAGAAAGCCACGGCUAACUACGUGCCAGCAGCCGCGGUAAUACGUAGGUGGCAAGCGUUAUCCGGAAUUAUUGGGCGUAAAGCGCGCGUAGGCGGUUUUUUAAGUCUGAUGUGAAAGCCCACGGCUCAACCGUGGAGGGUCAUUGGAAACUGGAAAACUUGAGUGCAGAAGAGGAAAGUGGAAUUUCCAUGUGUAGCGGUGAAAUGCGCAGAGAUAUGGAGGAACACCAGUGGCGAAGGCGACUUUCUGGUCUGUAACUGACGCUGAUGUGCGAAAGCGUGGGGAUCAAACAGGAUUAGAUACCCUGGUAGUCCACGCCGUAAACGAUGAGUGCUAAGUGUUAGGGGGUUUCCGCCCCUUAGUGCUGCAGCUAACGCAUUAAGCACUCCGCCUGGGGAGUACGACCGCAAGGUUGAAACUCAAAGGAAUUGACGGGGACCCGCACAAGCGGUGGAGCAUGUGGUUUAAUUCGAAGCAACGCGAAGAACCUUACCAAAUCUUGACAUCCUUUGACAACUCUAGAGAUAGAGCCUUCCCCUUCGGGGGACAAAGUGACAGGUGGUGCAUGGUUGUCGUCAGCUCGUGUCGUGAGAUGUUGGGUUAAGUCCCGCAACGAGCGCAACCCUUAAGCUUAGUUGCCAUCAUUAAGUUGGGCACUCUAAGUUGACUGCCGGUGACAAACCGGAGGAAGGUGGGGAUGACGUCAAAUCAUCAUGCCCCUUAUGAUUUGGGCUACACACGUGCUACAAUGGACAAUACAAAGGGCAGCGAAACCGCGAGGUCAAGCAAAUCCCAUAAAGUUGUUCUCAGUUCGGAUUGUAGUCUGCAACUCGACUACAUGAAGCUGGAAUCGCUAGUAAUCGUAGAUCAGCAUGCUACGGUGAAUACGUUCCCGGGUCUUGUACACACCGCCCGUCACACCACGAGAGUUUGUAACACCCGAAGCCGGUGGAGUAACCUUUUAGGAGCUAGCCUGAUGCAGAUAGGAUGGGACAACAUGAUG